rnacentral:rRNA from 1 species
UGAGGAAUAUUGGUCAAUGGACGGGAGCCUGAACCAGCCAAGCCGCGUGAGGGAAGAAGGCCCUAUGGGUCGUAAACCUCUUUUGUCAGGGAACAAAAGCGAGUAUGUAUACUAGUCUGAGUGUACCUGAAGAAAAAGCAUCGGCUAACUCCGUGCCAGCAGCCGCGGUAAUACGGAGGAUGCGAGCGUUAUCCGGAUUUAUUGGGUUUAAAGGGUGCGUAGGCGGCGAUGCAAGUCAGCGGUAAAAGCCCGGGGCUCAACCCCGGCGAGCCGUUGCAAACUGACAGUGCUAGAGAAGGCAGAGAGGUACGGCGGAAUGCGACAGUGUAGCGGUGAAAAUGCUUAGAUAUUGCGCAGAACUCCGAUUGCGAAGGCAGCGUACUGGCGCCUGACUGACGCUGAGGCACGAAAGCGUGGGGGAUCGAACAGGAUUAGAUACC